rnacentral:lncRNA from 1 species
UUGGGUUUGGAUGCUUCUCACUUGGCUUAUUAGGCUGCCAUUCGGGUGGCAUCAGUUGUCUGCUUUUGAUGAGACGGUAAUUAGUAGUGGAAGUCGUAACAACUUUGAUGAUAACUUCUUUAAUUAAUGUACCGUCCAAGAAAGAUAGCUCCGAUUGCUGUUAGAACUUAGAAUACGGUCGGAUUAAGAACAACAACAAAUAACAAGGUGGCGUGGUUAUGUUAAGAUGGUAAUAGAUGGACAACUAUAAGGCUAGCCAGCAGAAAUUAGUUUCUACUCCC